GUCGCCCUGGCCAGUACAUUGACUGCAACCUCGUGAGAGACCCUGAGUCAGAACCAUCCAGAUGUGUAAACUGCGGCACAGAGAGGUUACAUAACUUAACCUCAAGGUCAUGCAGCUAAUACGUGAAGAGUUGAGCUCAGCCAGUCUGGCUCUACAGAGUCUAUUGCUCUCAACCAUAGGAAAUAUAACCGUGAAAUAGUAAGGAAAAUCACAACUGUAUCCAGAGAGAUCCAGUUAAAACCCAAGUUAGAGCUUGUCACUCCUCUGCGCUAAAACGUCCAAUGGCUUCUCAUCUGUGGGAAAUUGCAGAAAUGGCCACAAGUCUUUAAAUUCCUCCUAUCAAGAGGUGAAGUCUAUUUCUCAACCCACUGACUCUGGGCUGGCCUUGCAACUGUCUUUAUCCAAUAGAAUGUUGCACAAGAAACACUGUGUGAAUUCUGAGUCUGGGCCUCAGCAGAAUGAUCCUACUCUUACCCUUGGAAUCCUAUAGUUGCCUUGUAAACAAGCCCAGGCAAGCCUGUUGGGGGAUGAGAGACCAUGUGGAACAGAACAGCCCCAGGCAAGGCCAUCCUGGGUGAGCCAGUUAUCAGCUGAGGACAAAUGAUGGCGCCCCACUAAGAUCAGUCUAGCACAGCCUCUACCAGAAGAAGCUUCCAGAUGACCCGCAGACUCAUGAGCUAAAUAAAUGGUACUGUUUUAAGCCCUUGAGGUUUGUUGUGGGUUGUUAGGCAGCAAAAGCUAACUGAUUCACCAUCUCAUUCUGAGAAAAAGUUGAGUACUAACUGCAUUUCCAGUACUGAGAAC